GACGAACGCUGGCGGCGUGCUUAACACAUGCCAGUCGAACGGAAAGGCCCUGCUUUCUUGGGGUGCUCGCGUCGCGAACGGGUGAGUAACCCGUGAGUAACCUUCCCUUGACUUUGUGAUAACUUCAGGAAACUGGUGCUACUACCGGCUAGCAGCUCCUGCUGCAUGGUGGGGGUUGGAACGUUUCGGCGGUUGGGGAUGGACUCGCGGCUUAUCAGCUUGUUGGUGGGGUAGUGGCUUACCCAGGCUUUGAUGGGUAGCCGGCCUGAGAGGGUGACCGGCGACAUUGGGACUGCGAUAGGGAGCAGACUCCUACGGGAGGCAGCAGUGGAGAAUAUUGCACAAUGGGGGGAAGCCUGAUGCAGCAACGCCGCGUGCGGGAUGAAGGCCAUCGGGUUGUAAACCGCAUUAGCCUGUGACGAAGCGUGAGUGACGGUAAUGGGAAAAGAAGCACCGGCUAACUACGUG
rnacentral:rRNA from 1 species